GGGAAGUCGUGGCCUAAUGCUUAGAGAGUCGGACUCCCAAUCGAAGGGUUGUGAGUUCGAGUCUCGGGCUGGCAGGAAUUGUGGGUGGGUUCUCUCUCCACCUUCAAUACCACGACUUAGGUGCCCUUGAGCAAGGCAUCGAACCCCCAACUGCUCCCCGGGCACCGCAGCAUAAAUGGCUGCCCACUGCUCUGGGUGUGUGCUCACAGUGUGUGUGUGUGUGUUCACUGCUCUGUGUGUGUGCAUUUCGGAUGGGUUAAAUGCAGAGCACAAAUUCUGAGUAUGGGUCACCAUACUUGGCUGAAUGUCACUUCACUUUCAC